rnacentral:rRNA from 1 species
UGAGUAACCUGCCCUUCACUCUGGGAUAACUCCGGGAAACCGGGGCUAAUACUGGAUAUGACUCGAACAGGCAUCUGUUUCGGGUGGAAAGAUUUAUUGGUGGAGGAUGGACUCGCGGCCUAUCAGCUUGUUGGUGAGGUAAUGGCUCACCAAGGCAACGACGGGUAGCUGGUCUGAGAGGAUGGCCAGCCACAUUGGGACUGAGACACGGCCCAGACUCCUACGGGAGCA